AUCUUUUACGCCUAAGCCAUUUCUGAGAAACGGGGGGAUCACGAAGAAAAGGGGAAAGGCAGCAAGCAGAAAGAUCCAUUUUUUAUGAUUUUCCGGUAUCGGAUUUCAUAUUGUAUACGGUAUUCUGUGGAAAUCACAUAGGAUGCACGCGGCGCCAUGAUCCCAUUUUCUGACGCGAAUGCUUAACCCUAGUCCCUAGUUGUUGCGCGCUGUCACCUUCUGUUCGUUUGCGGAAGAGAGAGAUCGACAGUUUGUGGUUCCGUUUGAUUGUUUCUCAGGGAGAGAUCGGGACGGAUUUCUGGAACUAGGUUCUGUUCUGUUACCUUGAAGAAGAUUUUCCAACCCUAGUUUGUUGAAGGAGGGUUGGGUUAGGUUUAGGGUGAAUCGGAGUCUGAUCCAGAUGCGAGGCCUCUGGGGAUCACGGCCUCACCCCUAUUCGUCUUGACAUCAAGUGUUUGUUGUAUAUGGAUUCACCAUUCCUGACCUCAAUCGUUAAUAAAUUCGGUUUUUUCUUCUUUUUCCUAGCAAUCGUCGUUCAGUCGCAGCAAAAUGUGAAUCCUCCCGGAUCACAGUCCCCGCCGCCGCCACCUCCAGUUUCGCCUCCUCCGCCGCCGCCGCCUGUUCAAUCUCCGCCACCACCGCCAUUGUCUCCUCCUCCUCCACCUCCAAUUUCACCUCCCCCACCGCGGCCUCCUCCCCCGCCUACCUCGCCCACCCCACCUCCACCCCCUUCCCCCACCUCCCGUCCGCGAAAAUUCUCCCCCCCUCCCCAUCACUCCGCCCGGUCUCCCCGAGAGGGCUCACAUAAAGGACACAAUGCCAAAGGAAAAAGUCAUACUUCACAUGGAAGGUCAAGCCAUUCACCAAAGGAAAAGAAACUGAAUUUGGGAAAAAAACUGGGAUUGCUAUUUGUGGGCAUUGCUGCACUUUUGCAGGUGUUUGUGGUAACAUUCUUGGUAAUCAAGAGGAGACAAUUGUUAACCGCUGAGAGCAGAUUAUAAAGACGUGUGAAAAAAAAAAAAAAGUUCAGAUUUUUUUCUUUCUUUCUUUCUGUUUAGUCUCUUUCUUUGGUGGGAGUGUUUUACACUUAACUGGAGUUGUACUGAUUGAAAUUCUUUAACGAGCGGCUUGGCAAUGAGUAAGGAUAUGAAUUGAUUCAUAACAUAACGCCUCGAUCCAUUGGAGUUUUGGCCUCCACAUCUGUUGUUGUCGCUCAUGUAAAUUGGUGAGAUAAACAAAGUUGUAGAUGAGAUCAAAUCUGAUCUGACUUGGGGGUUGUUUUGGAGAGGAGCAGGAAGACAUUUGCCUUUUCGAUUGCUUGGUGGGUGAGACAUGAAGUCCUAAGUAUUUAAUGUUGUUGGAGAAGUGUUAUCACCAAAUCUAUAUGUAAUACCCUACUAUAUAAUAUAAGGCAAUAUAUUUGUGUAGCUGAUUACAUUACAUCUACAAGUGAACAUGUAUGAAUGAAAAACUGACCCAAAACCCAGUUUCCCCAGUCCACAGAUUCUUUUCCAUUUCCAGCUUGCUGUGCAUUGAAUUUAUAGCAUUUAACCCCUUUUGGCAUCAUACUUCUAGCUGUCAACCUUAUCUUCUUCUUCCUCUUUUUCCCCUUUCUCCAAAAAUCACCCCUCCAUGUGCUUCUGCAUUCUGGUCCACAUAAGGAUUAGCUUGUUCGAUUGCCCAUAGUUGAUCGGUUCAGGUCAGACCAAUACGUUAGUCUCAUUGACAGUUAAAUUUGAAAUAUUGUGAUUUCCAGGCCAAUAGCCUGACCAACUUGAAUGUUUAAAUGGCAAACUACACCCAAUGACAACAAUGAAAGCAAUGUGAGAACUAUAUAUAUAUAUAUAUAUAUAUAUAUCCGUCUCUCGCAAUAUCAAACUAGACCCAACCCAAUCCACACCAAGGAACAAGUCAAACCAUAAAAUGGAAUCUAAACUCCCAUUUCAUGGAAGGUUAAUAAAGAAAGUGUAAAUGAAACAUCAAGAACUCCAAAAAAAAAAACAGUAAAGCAAUGACCUUAACAUAUGCCGCCUUAUGUCUGUUUUGAAAAAGACUACUAGACUAGUGCUCAAAUCCUAUUGUUUUGCCACUAUAAACAUAAUAGCAAACCAUAUUAUUAAUCAUCAAGCUUUAACUCUCUUCAUCCUGCAAUGACUAUUGAUCCAGACCCAAAUCCCCCCUCCAAUGAUCAAAUACUAGAUUGGUUCGGAGAUUCUUUAUCCUAUGAUCCAUUGUUCCUAGACAUUUUGUACGAUGAAUCUUGGUCCAUUCCAAGUCUAGGCCAACAAGAUCAGAUCAUCAACAACAAUGAUAACUUGCAGUUUAUUUGUCCACAAUCUGUCAUCCAAGAACCAACUGAGCUACCCGUGCAGGCUAACGUGCCUUGUUUCCAAGGCCUAGAGGCGUUGGAUUCGUCAAAGAAGCGAAAAGCAGCAGGUGGUGAUGGGGAAGGAGGUGUGUAACAAAGGGCUCCGGUUAGGAAACCGGGAAACAAGAAAGUGACGUGGUUUUGAGCCACCACUCCCAAGAUGACAGGUCAGAGUUCUUGAGAGGGCUGAGGAGUUUGGGUCCAAAAGGCGUCGUUUUGAGCGAGAACAAUGCAGAUUGUAGCUGCAGCCAUUGCGGGGACUUUGUCAAUGGAUUCUCCAGGAGGGUGGAGUACUUGUGGAGGUUCCUGGACUCCACAAGCGCGGCGUAUAGAGGACGUGAAAAUGAAGAAAGAAGGAUGAUGGAAGGAGAAGCAGCAAAGGCAUUGACAAAUGUGGGAGAAAUGGUGCCAGAGAAUGAUGAGUAUAAAGAGAAAU